rnacentral:rRNA from 1 species
GGGCCCGCACAAGCGGUGGAGCAUGUGGUUUAAUUCGAUGAUACGCGAGGAACCUUACCAGGGCUUAAAUGUAGGUUGCAUGAUCUAGAGAUAGAUCUUUCUUCGGACUACCUACAAGGUGCUGCAUGGUUGUCGUCAGCUCGUGCCGUGAGGUGUCAGGUUAAGUCCUAUAACGAGCGCAACCCCUGUCGUUAGUUACCAGCAAUUAAAGUUGGGUACUCUAGCGAGACUGCCGGUGCAAACCGUGAGGAAGGUGGGGAUGACGUCAAAUCAUCACGGCCCUUACGUCCUGGGCUACACACGUGCUACAAUGGCCGGUACAGAGAGCAGCCACUACGCGAGUAGGAGCGAAUCUUCAAAGCCGGUCUCAGUUCGGAUCGCAGUCUGCAACUCGACUGCGUGAAGCUGGAAUCGCUAGUAA